rnacentral:rRNA from 1 species
AGAGUAAGAAAAUUUUAUAGUUGUACCUUUUGUAUCAGGGAAACUUAAAAGUUUAGUAAUGAUUUAAUCGAUUUUAUUUGAACUUUUUAAAGAUCUGUAGUGGAAUUUAGGGGUUGUAGAUAUUAAGAGGUGAAAAGUGUUCGGCGAUAAUGAUAUCUAAUUGUUUUGUAAAUUUUAAAAGGUUAAGCUUUUAAAAUUUUAUGAUUAAAGUGAUCUAGGGAAAACUAGGCUUUAAAUUAGCCAUGCUCAUAUAUUGUUUUAAGUAAUUUUUUGGGGCAGAAGAGAUAUAAAAUUAUAAGCUAUAUGUAGUAAUAUUAAUUAGUAAAAAUAAUGAGUUUAUUGAAUAUAAAGUGAAGCUUAAAAUUAACUAAGUGUAAGUUAGAAGGUUUAACAAAAACAUUUCUAUUUGUUGAAUAAAAAGUAAGACCUGCCCAGUGGUAAAUAAACGGCUGCGGUAUUUUGACUGUGCUAAG